GCGGGCUGCAGAGCUGGGACCGCGUGACGGCGUUGCUUAAACAGUAAGUCUGAGUCCUUUGGAGGAAACAGAGAUGGAGGCAGAUUGGCGACAUUAACAGUGGAAAGAAUUAUUUCCUGCAAAGUGAAAACACCACCAAGCUUCAUUGCAUUGAAGACUUGAGACAAUCAACUUCAUUCUGUGUCCUCAAAAGUUUUAGCAAGUCAGCAGCUAUUGAGCUGUCAGAGAGGCUGUCAUUCCCUAGAUCUCACACUUGGUAAUCGAGGGACAGCAACCCAUGUCUUCCUGAGCCUACUUCACUAUCUUACACCUCAGGCCUGGUCAGACAGCGGCUUGCUAUGGGUUACCUAAUGAAGGCCUGAUGUCUGAGAUAUUUAUGCCUCAUAUCUUUUUCUUGCCUUUUUUCACUGGCAAGCAUCCCAUACCAAGUUGAGGACAGUGGAGCUUGCUUGCCUGAUAGUCAUCUGAGGGAAACUACUCGAGCUAUUCUUCCAAGACCAGGAAAGAUCAUCUAAAGUGAAUCAACUGUGUUGAAUAUGAACCAAAACUACAUACUACAGACAAGUAAUGGAUGCAAAGAUAUUAGACUUUCAAACUCAGCUAUUCAACGCCAUUCUUUGCUGUAUAUGGCUGCCCUGCCAGCCACCACGGCCUGGCAAGGCCAAAUGGCUCUGCACCAUUCUUGCUGCAAUGUGGACCCUGAGUGUACUCCAUCCUCACAUGACUCCCUCUUCAGCCAGAAUCCCACUCCAGCUGGAAUGCUUUUGGAUAAAAUAUGUGAUACAAUUGUGGCAAAUGAAACAUUGAGGAGUUUUGCUACAAUGUCCUAUUCCUGAGCUAUUCCUCACCUUUUAAAAGCACACAUGUGACUUCAUGGUUGCUGUUGCGUUACCUCAUCUGAGUCAUCUCAGUGGGCACAAAUUCAAGAAGAUGCCUGUGCUGCUCAGAAGGUGGGAUGGUGUGAGGUCAAGAGCUAUAAAAUUUACUUGGCAGUGUCUGAUAAUCUAAUCUGAUGAUGAAGGAUGUGGAAGAAGAAAACUUGAAGUAUUGAUGUCAAGGAAGAUUGGAGAAGAGAUUAAUGAAUGGCCUAUUCAAAAUCACCCCAAAACCUGCAAAUAUUAAUUCUUAUCAGAAGGAUCCCAAAGAUUCUGUUUUUGGAUAUUGGUUAAUCUCCUUUUUGCAGCUGACUCAGUGCACUAAUGAACAACAUUGUAAGAAGGCAGAAAUAUAGUUACACAUGGGUUCAACAAUAUGGGUGUCUGCACCCAGGAUGACUUCAUUAUACAGUGCAUGGAGUGCACAAUUUAUCAACAGUGAGUAACAUUAGAUACCGUUUAUGGUUUAAUAUACAUUAGGACUUGGUGGCAAGAUAAUUAUAUUGGUCCAUUUCAUGGUAAAGGAGAAGUAAUUUGUAUUCCCCAGAGUAAACUUGCAUUUUGAAUUUAAUUAUCUUUCCUUGCUAUUCAUGCCUAUGCUCAAACAACCAUAUAUAGGUAUCCCAAGUAGCUUACAUACUGUGAUGGUAUCCCACAGAACCUGCCUGCAGACAAGGCACUAUGUAAAGCAAGGCGAUGAGACUAUUGACCAUGCAACAUAUAUGUAUAUGUCUUCAAGGUGUAGCUUAAGUCUCAUUUUUUUCAUCAAGUCUUCUUGAAUAUAUAUCUUUGAAAAUUAUUACCUCUUCUGAAUUCAUAGCCCUUACAUUUUUAAUAUCAUUCAAAUUAUCUUAGCACUUACUAUCUUGUUCUGUCAUUCAGCCUUUCAUGUGUGUGUCCUGCUUCAUUAUUAAAUUUAAG